AGUGAACGCUGGCGGUAGGCCUAACACAUGCAAGUCGAACGGCAGCACAGUAAGAGCUUGCUCUUACGGGUGGCGAGUGGCGGACGGGUGAGGAAUGCAUCGGAAUCUACUUUUUCGUGGGGGAUAACGUAGGGAAACUUACGCUAAUACCGCAUACGACCUACGGGUGAAAGCAGGGGAUCUUCGGACCUUGCGCGAUUGAAUGAGCCGAUGUCGGAUUAGCUAGUUGGCGGGGUAAAGGCCCACCAAGGCGACGAUCCGUAGCUGGUCUGAGAGGAUGAUCGGCCACACUGGAACUGAGACACGGUCCAGACCCCUACGGGAGGCAGCAGUGGGGAAUAUUGGACAAUGGGCGCAAGCCUGAUCCAGCCAUACCGCGUGGGUGAAGAAGGCCUUCGGGUUGUAAAGCCCUUUUGUUGGGAAAGAAAAGCAGCAGGUUAAUACCCCGCUGUUCUGACGGUACCCAAAGAAUAAGCACCGGCUAACUUCGU
rnacentral:rRNA from 1 species